AGCAAAUAACUCAGGUAUUCAGUACGACAUUGCUCACAUUGCUUCCAGUAUUUCUUGCCCACUUUUUAGUGGGCUUUUUUU
rnacentral:antisense_RNA from 1 species